UGGAAGUAAAAAGUCGUAACAAGGUUUCCGUAGGUGAACCUGCGGAAGGAUCAUUAAAGAGUAAGGGUGCUCAGCGCCCGACCUCCAACCCUCUGUUGUUAAAACUACCUUGUUGCUUUGGCGGGACCGCUCGGUCUCGAGCCGCUGGGGAUUCGUCCCAGGCGAGCGCCCGCCAGAGUUAAACCAAACUCUUGUUAUAUAAACCGGUCGUCUGAGUUAAAAUUUUGAAUAAAUCAAAACUUUCAACAACGGAUCUCUUGGUUCUCGCAUCGAUGAAGAACGCAGCGAAAUGCGAUAAGUAAUGUGAAUUGCAGAAUUCAGUGAAUCAUCGAAUCUUUGAACGCACAUUGCGCCCCUUGGUAUUCCGAGGGGCAUGCCUGUUCGAGCGUCAUUACACCACUCAAGCUAUGCUUGGUAUUGGGCGUCCGUCCCUUCGGGGGCGCGCCUUAAAGACCUCGGCGAGGCCUCACCGGCUUUAGGCGUAGUAGAAUUUAUUCGAACGUCUGUCAAUGGAGAGGACUUCUGCCGACUGAAACCUUUUAUAUUUUUCUAGGUUGACCUCGGAUCAGGUAGGGAUACCCGCUGAACUUAAGCAUAUCAAUAA
rnacentral:rRNA from 1 species